rnacentral:tRNA from 1 species
GCAGCUGUGGCGCAAUGGAUAGCGCGUUGCCCUCCUAAGGCAAAGGUUGGGGGUUCGAGUCCCCCCUGCUGUU